CCAUGCUGCUAAAGACACCAAAGACCACAUCAUUGGGCCUUAGAGAGAGAGGAAGCUGGCUCAGAUAACCUGUUACUUCUUUUUCCAACUUCAAUUCCCAUGGCUCACAUAAUCACCAUAGGGAGCCAAGACAAUGAGUGGAACCAUGCCUUGGAUUGGGCCAAGAUAAACUGGGCCAAUGACCUGGUUAUUCUAAAUUGCUUGGCUCCAGGCCCCCACCUCAGAGAACAGACUGACUUUUUGUGGUCAUGAACUAUGGACCCUCCCUCCCAACUGCUGACUUGAAUCUAAUCAGAACACAGACUGAAUUCUACUACCCAGCCAGGCCUCUCAAAAUCAAAUCCAGAGACGUAGAAGCAUCUUAUAACAUGGCUUACCUAAUGCCAGUGGUGAGAUGGAAUUAUUCCUCUCAGAGACCAAAGGAAGAAAAAGAUAAGCAUGUCGAAUAGCCUACAUUGGAUUGGAGAGCAAUUGGAGAGCUGAGUAGAAACUGAGACUUGUGAACUCCAU
rnacentral:lncRNA from 1 species